UAUGGGCGUGAUCCUAGACCACGUGACCGGCGUUGGCGCUUCAAAUUCCACCCGGUUGUACUUCAGCAAUCACUUCCAGUACAACGGCGUGAUAGAUGGUUUGCCGAAAGGAUGGUGUGGAGUUUUCAGUGAUUCAGAAACGAUGUGAGCUCUGAAGACGGGUUGGAACCAGCCUGCAGUGCGUCCGUGUGGACGGAAGCAUUGCCCUUUCGUUGCCUGUGUGUUAUAGUACGAGGUUGUUCAGUUUUUCUCCCACGUUCUAUUAAAUACUCUUGCUAUGUGUAGGGUUACCUGUUGAUUCUAUGUUUGCGAGGACAGUUAAGGCUUUUGAACUCCUCGCAAUGCAUUUUGAUUACCUGCCUCGGGUACCUUCACAGCAAGACUACACUUAUCAGAAUGCAUUGCGAUGUGAGUUGACACGCCUGAAUUGUCCUCGUGUAGUCCUAUGGUAACCCUAGCUAUUUAUAACAUGUAAUACAAUGUAAAUACAUAUUUAAGUUUUAUACAGAAGCUUGUAGGAUUUGUUGUAUGUUUACAACAGACUUCAGCCACACUACUUCAAGUGCAUUCAGUAUAGUUCUGGAAAUAAAUGUAUUGAGGCAAGUAGA